CGCGUAGGCGGUCUUGCAAGUCCCGUGUGAAAUCCCUCGGCUCAACUGAGGAACUGCACGGGAAACUGCUUGGCUUGAGUUCGGGAGAGGGAAGCGGAAUUCCGGGUGUAGCGGUGAAAUGCGUAGAUAUCCGGAGGAACACCGGUGGCGAAGGCGGCUUCCUGGACCGACACUGACGCUGAGGCGCGAAAGCUAGGGGAGCAAACG
rnacentral:rRNA from 1 species